rnacentral:rRNA from 1 species
UGGGAAUACUGCACAAUGGGCGCAAGCCUGAUGCAGCCAUGCCGCGUGUGUGAAGAAGGCCUUCGGGUUGUAAAGCACUUUCAGCGAGGAGGAAGGUGGUGAGCUUAAUACGCUCAUCAAUUGACGUUACUCGCAGAAGAAGCACCGGCUAACUCCGUGCCAGCAGCCGCGGUAAUACGGAGGGUGCAAGCGUUAAUCGGAAUUACUGGGCGUAAAGCGCACGCAGGCGGUUUGUUAAGUCAGAUGUGAAAUCCCCGGGCUCAACCUGGGAACUGCAUUUGAAACUGGCAAGCUAGAGUCUCGUAGAGGGGGGUAGAAUUCCAGGUGUAGCGGUGAAAUGCGUAGAGAUCUGGAGGAAUACCGGUGGCGAAGGCGGCCCCCUGGANGAAGACUGACGCUCAGGUGCGAAAGCGUGGGGAGCAAACAGAUUAGAUACCCUGGUAGUCCACGCUGUAAAACGAUGUCGA